GUGGAAGCCUCGGUUUGGCAAAGAUUAAGCUAGUGUGAGGUCCUCCCUCUUUGGGCAGGAUGAGACACCAAGGACGUGAGCAGACCAAGACAAGAUGCAGCGUGUAGUGUAAAUGUCCGUGAUGGUGGGAAGAGAGACCCCGAUGAUCUUCUCAGCUGACCUCACUAUCGGCUGCAGGGUCUUGCGAUCUGAGGUGGUGUAAUUUCCGAACCAGGCAGUGAUGCAGCUGCUCAGGAUGCUCUCAAUACAACCCCUGUAGAAUGUGAUGAGGAUGGGGGGGUGGGGUGGGAGAUGGACUUUCCUCAGCCUUCGCAGAAAGUGGAGACGCUGCUGGGCUCUCUUUGCUGUGGAGCUGGUGUUGAGGGACCAGGUGAGAUCUGAGCUCUCCCUCCCCACUCUUACCUAGGUCCUCUCCAUUUAGGGUCCAUUUCUUUUAUUGCCUGCUCCUUUCCCAUUAGCCAGUUGAUGCUGUUUUACCUCCUUCCCACUCUGGUCCUUGCCCCUGCAAAUACCCCAGCCAAUUAGACCCAGAGGUAAAUGUAACGUGUGGGACCCGAGGAGUGAUAGCUGACUAAGGUGGGACCCAGCGUGAGUGGGUAGGGUGGCCAGGAGGUCUGCAUUUGUGAGUGGGCUCAAGCCCACCGUCUGGCUCUGCCUUGACGUCAGAGGCUGACAGGAAAUGAUGUAGCUGUCAGUGGUCGCUAACUCAGCCGGCUCCAUCAUGGGCACUCGCCUCCCCAGCAUCGCAGACAUCUUCAAAUAUGUCCAUUAUUCAGGCUCCCCACCCAGGACGCGCCCUCUUCUCAUUGAUACCAUCAGGGAGGAGAUACUGGAGCCUGAAGACCCAUACUCACCGUUUCAGCAACUUUCCUUCUCCUCAACCAUCAGGUUUCUAAAUGGACAAUGAACACACCUUCAUUAGUCCUACUUUGCUCCAUUUAGUUAUGUUUUAAUACACCGUAUUUUAAUGACUUUGCACUGUACUGCUGCAGCAAAACCACAAAUUUCAUAUUAUAUAAGACAACGAUAAUGAAUCUGAUUCUGAUCUGACGUUAGAUCCUGCAAAACAACCAGGGGCAUGUACGUCACCCUUGGGUGGGAUUCUGCUGAUUAAUAUGCAAAUUUAGUCAACUCCACUCUCCAUCAUAUCGAAGGGGGCAUUCCCCACCACCCACCCACAGCCCCCGGCA